UAGUGUCUGUAUGAGACACCUUUUUAAUGCACGGUUAGCGCUGUGAAACAAUCACAGUUUAUUUAUGGCACCAAAAUGACCUGGUUAGGGCUAGUAAAAGGAAAAUAAUAUCUCACGUCAUAACAUCAGCUUUCAAAUAAGCCAAUUGUUUUCACACAGGAAACAACCCCUUCUCUUCUGGCUGGAGGUCCUGUGUUUGUUUGACCCCGUGAUCCACCAAACCAACCUCCCUGCACUCUGUCACCUGACAUGGAUAGGUUACCUUGGAGUAGACUAGUAGUACACUAAAAGGUACCUUGUGUGAGACACUGAGGCGAGUCUUCCACACAACAUUCCAAUGAGGCUGAAUUCUCCGACUCUCAGUAUAGACAGAACCUAUGAGGGUUUCCAUAAAAGCCUGUUAUGGAUCGACAAAUACAUGAUAUAAAACCCAAAUUAUAAUUCACGUAUUUGUGUGGCUGCAGGGGUUUGCCGUACACUCAGACAUCUGUUUUUGGAUCAUAAGUCCUUAAGUUAAAUGACAUGGAGCGACUGUUUAAAGUUUCAGACUUUGUCCCACAGUUCUGACAACAGCACCCCAAAGUACAAAACUACAACCAUGACCUUUGAAAGUCACUAUGCUUCUUGCUGUACCUGGACCAGCUCCAGAGCGUCAAUGUGCCAAUAUACACAACCCUGCUACUCUCUUGCAUUUCUCUUUAGAUUCGUUGUUGCAUCCUGCAUAGUGCUAACUGUUUCUAAAUGAUCAAACUAAAGCCUGUGUGAUGAGAUUUCUCAGUGAGUGCCUGAAGGAUGUGAGCUGAAUUAUAGCCUUCAUUUGUUAGAGAGGAUCUUUGUGUCCAUUCUCUCUCUGUCUCUCUCACCACAUUAGUUGUUAUCUGCAUGAACAGCUCCAAGACGCUUGGAUCAAUAUAAACCCUGCAGCCAUGGGAGAGCAGUGUCCUCGUAAAUGUGGGACCAAGAGACAAAGACAGACACAGGCAGCAGCCAAGAGGGAAGGAGAACCAAGGAGAAGAGGAAUGACAGAAGGGAAAGGACAUCAUGAGACUGUAGCAACCAGACAGCACUGGAGAUUUCAUUCUGUAGAAGAAUCUAGAAUCUGUUUGAACCCAGGAAGAGCUGAGUCCUGUCUCCGUCGCCUCCCGGCUAAUCCAAAAGUGGUCAAAGAGGUGGAUCAUGGGUGGAGCUAAGGCAAGCUGGUUGCCCAAACAAGCCACCUAUAACCUGUCAAUCAAAGCAGCUAUUUAAACAGAGGAGGCGCAUCCAUGAACCUGCUCCAUUCUAAACCCCGGCGAGAGAGGCAGAGUGCUGAUUGGGAGUCAGUGUCUGCUGACAACAACAGGAGGAGGGCAGCGUCCCAUUGGCUGCGUGACAUCACAGAGGAGUAACGGAGCGUCCCCGGGGGGGGUCACUCAGUCCUGUUCUGUUUUUAGCCUCGACGGCUGCACUGAUGCACUCACUGUAUUGUUCAUCAGAGCUCCACUCCUCACCUCUCUCUGCACACUUUAUUCAUGUUGCAUCCACUUCUGUGCUGCCCCUGUUGUUGCUCUCUUCCUCUCCUUGUGCUGCAGCACACACCUGAACCUCACCUGGUCAUUACUCAUGCUGAAAUCCACCGGUUCUCCAGUCACUCCUCACCAGACCUUUACAGUUUCCCCCGGUAACUAGUCAGGCUCCUCUUCCCAGUGAUUCCCACUCAAAGUGCUUUGUGAGACUCUUAGUGUUUUCUUGGUUCUCCUGUAUUUUUUCUCUCCCUGUGUUUCCUGCCUCAUUUUUUGACCCUGUGCUUCCUGUGCUUUAGAUCACCUACCCCUGCUGAGCAGCUGCCAGCCCGGACCCACUUCUCUCCUAGACCCUCACCGCCGACCUCUCCCCCCUCAUGUCUCCCCG